GAUGAACGCUGGCGGCGUGCUUAACACMWKGCAAGKUCGAGGRARSCAYUAAAAGCGGAUUUCUUCGGAUUGAAGGUUUAGUKRAYKGAGCGGCGGACGGGUGAGWAACGCGUGGGUAAACCUGCCUCAUACAGGGGGAUAACAGUUGGRAAACGGCUGCUAAUACCGCAUAAGCGCACAGUACCGCAUGGUACGGUGUGAAAAACUCCGGUGGUAUGAGAUGGACCCGCGUCUGAUUAGGUAGUUGGUGGGGUAACGGCCUACCAAGCCGACGAUCAGUAGCCGACCUGAGAGGGUGACCGGCCACAUUGGGACUGAGACACGGCCCAAACUCCUACGGGAGGCAGCAGUGGGGAAUAUUGCACAAUGGGGGAAACCCUGAUGCAGCGACGCCGCGUGAGCGAAGAAGUAUUUCGGUAUGUAAAGCUCUAUCAGCAGGG
rnacentral:rRNA from 1 species